rnacentral:snRNA from 1 species
CUGCUCACUUCAGCAGCGUGCGUAACAAUAUUGGAACAAUAUAGAGAAGAAUUGGCAUGGUCCUUUUGCAGUGAUGACCUGCAAAUCCAUGAAGCAGUCUGUGUUUUA